AUUGAACGCUGGCGGCAUGCCUUACACAUGCAAGUCGAACGGCAGCACGGGAGCAAUCCUGGUGGCGAGUGGCGAACGGGUGAGUAAUAUAUCGGAACGUGCCCAGUCGUGGGGAUAACGUAGCGAAAGCUACGCUAAUACCGCAUACGAUCUAUGGAUGAAAGCGGGGGAUCGCAAGACCUCGCGCGAUUGGAGCGGCCGAUAUCAGAUUAGGUAGUUGGUGAGGUAAAGGCUCACCAAGCCGACGAUCUGUAGCUGGUCUGAGAGGACGACCAGCCACACUGGGACUGAGACACGGCCCAGACUCCUACGGAGGCAGCAGUGGGGAAUUUUGGACAAUGGGCGCAAGCCUGAUCCAGCAAUGCCGCGUGCAGGAUGAAGGCC
rnacentral:rRNA from 1 species